rnacentral:rRNA from 1 species
GACGAACGCUGGCGGCGUGCUUAACACAUGCAAGUCGAGCGGUAAGGCCCUUUCGGGGGUACGACGAGCGGCGAACGGGUGAGUAACACGUGGGUGACCUGCCCUUAGCUCUGGGAUAAGCCUGGGAAACUGGGUCUAAUACCGGAUAUGACUCCAUGACGCAUGUUGUGGGGUGGAAANCCUUGUGCGGCUAGGGAUGGGCCCGCGGCCUAUCAGCUUGUUGGUGGGGUGAUGGCCUACCAAGGCGACGACGGUAGCCGGCCUGAGAGGGCGACCGGCCACACUGGGACUGAGACACGGCCCAGACUCCUACGGGAGGCAGCAGUGGGGAAUCUUGCGCAAUGGGCGAAAGCCUGACGCAGCGACGCCGCGUGAGGAUGACGCCUGUGU